UAUAAAUCUUUUUACAAAUUUACAGGUAUCGUGGGUGGUUCUCUUCAAACUAACUCUGGUGUAAUUAUCAUCACGGUCGUCAAUUUUGUACUUACAUACAUUCACAACAUACAUUAACGUUGUACUUUAAGUUUAAACCAUUUAUUGUAGUUGUGUUGCACUGUGUCUCUUAGAAAACGUGGUUUGGUAAUUUUUGCGACUCACUAUAAUUUUGUGUAUUUUUAAACUUUUUUUAUGCGAAUUACAACAUGCAAUGACAUGCAUAUAAUAUUAUAAUUAUCGGAUCUAAUUUUUGUUAUACGUGCUGAUAAGCGUUUAAAAAGAAGUCG